rnacentral:rRNA from 1 species
GAUGAACGCUGGCGGCGUGCCUAAUACAUGCAAGUCGAGCGGAGCGGGGACGGGUGAGUAACACGUGGAUAACCUCCUAUAAGGGGGGGAUAACUUCGGGAAACGGGAGCUAUACCCGAUAGUGAUCAAUGGAGACGCGCUGCAUUAGCUAGUUGGUAAGGUAACGGCUUACCAAGGCAACGAUGCAUAGCCGGCCUGAGAGGGUGAUCGGCCACACUGGAACUGAGACACGGUCCAGACUCCUACGGGAGGCAGCAGUAGGGAAUCUUCCGCAAUGGGCGCAAGCCUGACGGAGCAACGCCGCGUGAGUGAUGAAGGUCUUCGGGUCGUAAAGCUCUUUUAUCAGGGAAGCGGUACCUACUCAGAAAGCCACGGCUAACUCCGUGCCAGCAGCCGCGGUAAUUC